UACAGAGGUCUCAAGCGUUGUUCGGAUUCAUUGGGCGUAAAGGGUGCGUAGGCGGCGCGGUAAGUCGGAUGUGAAAUCUCGGAGCUUAACUUCGAAACUGCAUUCGAUACUGCCGUGCUUGAGGACUGGAGAGGAGACUGGAAUUUACGGUGUAGCGGUGAAAUGCGUAGAUAUCGUAAGGAAGACCAGUGGCGAAGGCGGGUCUCUGGACAGUUCCUGACGCUGAGGCGCGAAAGCGUGGGGAGCAAACGGG
rnacentral:rRNA from 1 species